GACGUAGGGUCCAAGCGUUGUCCGGAUUUACUGGGCGUAAAGAGCGCGUAGGCGGUCUGUUAAGUGCACGAGUGAAAUCCCUGGGCUCACCCCAGGAACUGCUCUGCAUACUGGCAGACUUGAGGGUCGAAGAGGUUUGUGGAAUUCCCGGUGUAGCGGUGAAAUGCGUUGAUAUCGGGAGGAACACCCAUGGCGAAGGCAGCAAACUGGUCGGCAUCUGACGCUGAGGCGCGAAAGCGUGGGUAGCAAACAGG
rnacentral:rRNA from 1 species